rnacentral:rRNA from 1 species
AACGAACGCUGGCGGCAUGCCUAACACAUGCAAGUCGAACGAGACCUUCGGGUCUAGUGGCGCACGGGUGCGUAACGCGUGGGAACCUGCCCUUAGGUUCGGAAUAACUCCCCGAAAGGGGUGCUAAUACCGGAUAAUGUCUUCGGACCAAAGAUUUAUCGCCUUUGGAUGGGCCCGCGUUGGAUUAGCUAGUUGGUAGGGUAAAAGCCUACCAAGGCGACGAUCCAUAGCUGGUCUGAGAGGAUGAUCAGCCACACUGGGACUGAGACACGGCCCAGACUCUUAGGGGAGGAGGAGUUGGGGAAUAUGGGACAUGGGGCGAAAGCCUAACCAGGAAAGGCGGGGUGGGUGAUAAGGGCUUUGGGUUUGUAAGGCCUUUUUCCCGGGAUGAUAAUGACAGUACCGGGAGAAUAAGCUCCGGCUAACUCCGUG